GACGAACGCUGGCGGCGUGCUUAACACAUGCAAGUCGAACGGAAAGGCCCUGCUUUUGUGGGGUGCUCGAGUGGCGAACGGGUGAGUAACACGUGAGUAACCUGCCCUUGACUUUGGGAUAACUUCAGGAAACUGGGGCUAAUACCGGAUAUGAGCUCCUGCUGCAUGGUGGGGGUUGGAAAGUUUCGGCGGUUGGGGAUGGACUCGCGGCUUAUCAUCUUGUUGGUGGGGUAGUGGCUUACCAAGGCGUUGACGGGUAGCCGGCCUGAGAGGGUGACCGGCCACAUUGGGACUGAGAUACGGCCAAGACUGCUACGGGAGGCAGCAGUGGGGAAUAUUGCAAAAAGGGCGGAAGCCUGAUGCAGCAACGCCGCGUGCGGGAUGACGGCCGUCGGGUUGUAAACCGCGUUCGCCUGGGACGAAGAGUGAGUGACGGUAAUGGGUAAAGAAGCAACGGCUAACUACGUG
rnacentral:rRNA from 1 species